rnacentral:rRNA from 1 species
AUACGGAGGGUGCGAGCGUUGUUCGGAAUUACUGGGCGUAAAGCGUACGUAGGCGGUUAUUUAAGUCAGAUGUGAAAGCCCCGGGCUUAACUUGGGAACUGCAUUUGAAACUGGGUAACUAGAGUUUAGUAGAGGGGAGUGGAAUUUCAGGUGUAGCGGUGAAAUGCGUAGAGAUCUGAAGGAACACCAGUGGCGAAGGCGACUCCCUGGACUAAAACUGACGCUGAGGUACGAAAGCGUGGGUAGCAAACAGGAUUAGAAACCCCAGUAGUCC